rnacentral:rRNA from 1 species
CCUACGGGAGGCAGCAGUGAGGAAUAUUGGUCAAUGGCCGGAAGGCUGAACCAGCCAAGCCGCGUGAAGGACGAAGGUGCCAAGCAUUGUAAACUUCUUUUGUCAAGGGACAAAAACAGGCUCGAGAGCCUGACCGAGGGUACUUGAAGAAAAGGCAUCGGCUAACUCCGUGCCAGCAGCCGCGGUAAUACGGAGGAUGCGAGCGUUAUCCGGAUUUAUUGGGUUUAAAGGGUGCGUAGGCGGGCUGUUAAGUCAGCGGUAAAAGCCCGGGGCUCAACCCCGGCCAGCCGUUGAAACUGGCUGUCUUGAGUUGGAGAGAGGUAUGCGGAAUGCGCAGUGUAGCGGUGAAAUGCUUAGAUAUUGCGCAGAACUCCGAUUGCGAAGGCAGCAUGCCGGCGGCAAUCUGACGCUGAGGCACGAAAGCGUGGGUAUCGAACAGGAUUAGAUACCCGAGUAGUC